CGGCCUGUGGCGGAGCGAUCAAACGCAUCUCCGUAUCAAGAGAUUGUCGCGGGUUCAAAUCCCGUCUGGUUGA
rnacentral:tRNA from 1 species